AUUGAACGCUGGCGGCAGGCCUAACACAUGCAAGUCGAGCGGAGCGGCGGACGGGUGAGUAAGGCCUAGGAAUCUGCCUGGCAGUGGGGGAUAACGCACGGAAACGGGCGCUAAUACCGCAUACUAUCAGCUCAGGCUAGGUCGGAUUAGCUAGAUGGUGGGGUAAAGGCUGACCAAGGCGACGAUCCGUAGAUGGUCUGAGAGGAUGACCAGUCACACUGGGACGGAGACACGGCCCAGACUCCUACGGGAGGCAGCGGUGGGGAAUAUUGGGCAAUGGGCGAAAGCCUGAUGCAGCAAUGCCGCGUGAGUGAAGAAGGUCUUCGGAUUGUAAAGCUCUUUAGUUUGGGAAGCGUUAACUACAGAAAAAGCACCGGCUAACUACGUGCCAGCAGCCGCGGUAAUAC
rnacentral:rRNA from 1 species